AGCGAGAAAAGGAACUUCGGUUCCUGAGUAAAGCGGCGGACGGGUGAGUAACACGUGGGUAAUCUGCCCUCGGGUGGGGAAUAACUCAGGGAAACCUGGGCUAAUUCCGCAUGACACUUUCGAUACAUAAGUAUUGAGAAUCAAAGCUGGGGACCCUUCGGGGCCUGGCGCCUGAGGAGGAGCCCGCGGCCAAUUAGCUUGAUGGUGGGGUAACGGCUCACCAUGGCUACGAUUGGUAGCCGGCCUGAGAGGGCGGACGGUCACACUGGGACUGAGACACGGCCCAGACUCCUACGGGAGGCAGCAGUGGGGAAUUUUUGUCAAUGGGGGAAACCCUGAACAAGCAACGCCGCGUGAAGGACGAAGACCUUCGGGUUGUAAACUUCUGUCGGAGGGGACGAAAGCUUUGGUGGUUAAUACCCAUGAUUGUUGACGGUACCCUAUGAGGAAGCCCCGGCUAACUCCGUGCCAGCAGCCGCGGUAAUACGGGGGGGGCAAGCGUUGUUCGGAAUUACUGGGCGUAAAGGGCGCGCAGGCGGGCGGGAAAGUCUCUCGUGAAAGCCCACGGCUCAACCG
rnacentral:rRNA from 1 species